AUUAAACGCUGGCGGCAUGCCUUACACAUGCAAGUCGAACGGCAGCGACGGGGGCAACCCUGGUGGCGAGUGGCGAACGGGUGAGUAAAGCAUCGGAACGUGCCCUGGAGUGGGGGAUAACGUAGCGAAAGUUACGCUAAUACCGCAUAUUCUGUGAGCAGGAAAGCAGGGGAUCGCAAGACCUUGCGCUCUGGGAGCGGCCGAUGUCGGAUUAGCUAGUUGGUGGGGUAAAGGCCUACCAAGGCGACGAUCCGUAGCGGGUCUGAGAGGAUGAUCCGCCACACUGGGACUGAGACACGGCCCAGACUCCUACGGGAGGCAGCAGUGGGGAAUUUUGGACAAUGGGCGAAAGCCUGAUCCAGCCAUACCGCGUGAGUGAAGAAGGCCUCGGUUGUAAGAC
rnacentral:rRNA from 1 species